rnacentral:rRNA from 1 species
AGGGUUAUUUUAAAUUUCCUCACCCUCAAUUAACCCUUCAACAGUACUGAGUAAUUCUAUACCUCUAUAGAAAUUCUUAUGUAAAAACUAGUAACAAGAAGAAGACCUUCUCUUAAAUGUGUCUGUAGAUCAUAAAGGACCGACCACUGAUAAUUAACGCCUCUGACCCUAAAGUAAAAACUUCACUAGAAAAAUUUACUAAACACAACGUUAACCUAACACAAGGACAUUUCAAGAAAGAUUAAAAGAAAAAGAAGGAACUCGGCAAAUAUCAACCCCGCCUGUUUACCAAAAACAUCGCCUCUUGAAAAACAUAAGAGGUCCAGCCUGCCCAGUGACACUGUUCAACGGCCGCGGUAUCCUAACCGUGCGAAGGUAGCGUAAUCACUUGUCUUUUAAAUGGGGACUAGUAUGAACGGCACCACGAGGGUUAUACUGUCUCCUUUUUCCAAUCAGUGAAACUAAUCUUCCCGUGAAGAAGCGGGGAUUCACCUAUAAGACGAGAAGACCCUAUGGAGCUUUAAACGAUACAACAUUUACUAUAACACUCACUAAUCCCAGGAAAUCAACUUUUAUUUUAGCACUAUGAUUGUUAGUUUUAGGUUGGGGUGACCGCGGAGUAAAAAAUAACCUCCACAAUGAAAGGGGGCCCUCCCCUAAGCAAAAAGCCACAACUUUAUGCAUCAACAGAUUGACAUUAAUUGACCCAAUAUUUUGAUCAACGAAACAAGUUACCCUAGGGAUAACAGCGCUAUCCACUUCGAGAGCCCAUAUCGACAAGUGGGUUUACGACCUCGAUGUUGGAUCAGGGUACCCCAGUGG